CACCAUCGUCUACUAAGGUGAGCUCCACCCUCUCUCUCUCUCUGAAGCUCUUCCUUCCCGUCGACUCGGUGGAAACUUCUUCAAGCCACGCAUUCUAAUCCGAGUUCAAGGUCGAAGAUGAUGACACCAAUUCGAUGCCCUCUGACAUUGGCUUGAUUCAACAUGCUGCGUGGAUUGGUUUGGCUACCAUCACAAGCAAGAUUCUGGGAUUAAUUAGGGAGAUUAUUGUGGCUUCAGUUUUCGGCAUAGGUCCAGUGGCAACUGCAUUCAAGUA